rnacentral:rRNA from 1 species
UACGUAGGGUCCGAGCGUUGUCCGGAAUUAUUGGGCGUAAAGGGCUCGUAGGCGGUUCGUCACGUCGGGAGUGAAAACUCGGGCUUAACCCCGAGCCUGCUUCCGAUACGGGCAGACUAGAGGUAGGCAGGGGAGAGCGGAACUCCUGGUGUAGCGGUGGAAUGCGCAGAUAUCAGGAAGAACACCGGUGGCGAAGGCGGCUCUCUGGGCCUUACCUGACGCUGAGGAGCGAAAGCGUGGGUAGCGAACAGG